rnacentral:RNase_P_RNA from 1 species
AAAGUUUGACAGACAAUCGCUGGUGGCUUCGGCCACGAGAGGAAAGUCCGGGCUCCAUAGGGCAGGAUGCUGGAUAACGUCCAGUCAGCGCGAGCUGAAGGCUAGUGCCACAGAAAUGGACCGCCGAUGGCCAGCUGCAAAGCUGGCACAGGUAAGGGUGGAACCGUGGUGUAAGAGACCACGAGGAGCUAUGGUGACAUAGGUCCUGGUAAACCCCAUUUGGAGCAAGACCUAGAGGAACGCACGUCUCUUCCCUUGCGGGAGAGUCAGUCUUUGCCCGAGACGCGUUCGGGUUGGUCGCUUGAGCCAAUCAGCAAUGGUUGGCCUAGAUAGAUGAUUGUCGCUUCGAUGGUGGCAGGGUGGCCCCCGUUAUGACCACCGGAAGUACAGAACCCGGCUUACGGCAAACUUUCUUU